UGCAUGGAGUUGGAGACGGCAGCAGCAGCAUAGCAGCGGGCUCCCAUCUCUCCCUCUUGCGAUUCCCUUGAGAACGGCUCCUUCUUAGCUCUUAGGGAAAGUUAUUCCCAAAAUAACCAAGAAACCUUCUCUCUCUUUCCUUUCUCUCAUUUUUUAUUCUCUCAUGGGAUUCGGCUCACUCCCUCCCCUGUUUCUUCUUCUCCCGUGGGAAACUUGGCUUCUCUCCUCCUCCCCGAAGAUGCUCUCCCGAAGAAAAUAACUCCUCUUUAUAUAGGCUCUCCCUCCCUCUCUAUUCUCGGUUGAGAUGAGGAUGAAUCACGUAAAAGACGCAGGAGGUUGCUGGGAAUGGAUCUUAUCCGGGAGAAGAUUGGGAUGAUCUGUGGUCAAUGGAAUCCGUGGACGAGGAAGUCGGUGAGCUGGGAACUGGAAUUCGUUGGCUGAAGUCGGCUUGAUCCUUGGAGCUCGGAUGGCGAGGAUGUGGAGCAAGGAUCUCGGUUGAUGGAUGAU
rnacentral:lncRNA from 1 species